rnacentral:rRNA from 1 species
AACGAACGCUGGCGGCAGGCUUAACACAUGCAAGUCGAGCGCGCAGUUUACUUCGAGCGGCAGACGGGUGAGUAACGCGUGGGAAUCUACCCAGAACUACGGAAUAACAUGAAGAAAUUUGUGCUAAUACCGUAUACGCCCUUCGGGGGAAAGGUUUAUUGGUUUUGGAUGAGCCCGCGUUGGAUUAGCUAGUUGGUAGGGUAAUGGCCUACCAAGGCGACGAUCCAUAGCUGGUCUGAGAGGAUGCGCAGCCACACUGGGACUGAGACACGGCCCAGACUCCUAAGGGAGGCAGCAGUGGGGAAUAUUGGACAAUGGGCGCAAGCCUGAUCCAGCCAUGCCUCGUGAGUGAUGAAGGCCUUAGGGUUGUAAAGCUCUUUCACCGGUGAAGAUAAUGACGGUAACCGGAGAAGAAGCCCCGGCUAACUUCGUGCCAGCAGCCGCGGUAA